rnacentral:rRNA from 1 species
AGAGUUUGAUCCUGGCUCAGGACGAACGCUGGCGGCGUGCCUAAUACAUGCAAGUCGAGCGAGUCGAUGGGAGCUUGCUCCCUGAGAUUAGCGGCGGACGGGUGAGUAACACGUGGGCAACCUGCCUAUAAGACUGGGAUAACUUCGGGAAACCGGAGCUAAUACCGGAUACGUUCUUUUCUCGCAUGAGAGAAGAUGGAAAGACGGUUUACGCUGUCACUUAUAGAUGGGCCCGCGGCGCAUUAGCUAGUUGGUGAGGUAAUGGCUCACCAAGGCGACGAUGCGUAGCCGACCUGAGAGGGUGAUCGGCCACACUGGGACUGAGACACGGCCCAGACUCCUACGGGAGGCAGCAGUAGGGAAUCUUCCGCAAUGGACGAAAGUCUGACGGAGCAACGCCGCGUGAACGAAGAAGGCCUUCGGGUCGUAAAGUUCUGUUGUUAGGGAAGAACAAGUACCAGAGUAACUGCUGGUACCUUGACGGUACCUAACCAGAAAGCCACGGCUAACUACGUGCCAGCAGCCGCGGUAAUACGUAGGUGGCAAGCGUUGUCCGGAAUUAUUGGGCGUAAAGCGCGCGCAGGUGGUUCCUUAAGUCUGAUGUG